rnacentral:lncRNA from 1 species
AUAUAUAUAUAUGCAUACAGAGAGAAGUGAUAUCGACCACCUCUCCUUCUCCGAGAGAUUGGUCGAACAACAAGUUCUUGUAUAUCUAUCCGACACUACCGGCUACAUAUAUACAAUAAUUAUCUCUUACAAUAUAAUCUCCUAAUUAUAUAUGAACACAGGGUCCACAUAGUAUUCUCCGUUUUCAGCGAUCACGUGGUCAAGGAAGAAUGCCGUCAAUUCCUCUUGAAUUGCUCGCAUACGAUCUGGUGGUAGGAGUUCAUCCCGCAUCUGAAAGAUCUAAUUUGAAGAAGGGGUCAAUACAUAUAUAUAUAUAUGAAUAAAUGAAACUCAACACAAAUGAUGGUAAUAAAAUAAAAUUGUGAAUAUUAUUGCUUACGCACUUCAUAUUGUUCGUCAGAGUAGCCCCG